rnacentral:rRNA from 1 species
UCAUGCACGAAAGCGUGGGGAUCAAACAGGAUUAGAUACCCUGGUAGUCCACGCUGUAAACGAUGAUCACUCGUUGUUGGCGAUAUACUGUCAGCGACUGAGGGAAACCAUUAAGUGAUCCACCUGGGGAGUACGGCGGCAACGUUGAAACUCAAAGGAAUUGACGGGGGUCCGCACAAGCGGAGGAGCAUGUGGUUUAAUUCGAUGAUACGCGAAGAACCUUACCUGGGCUUAAAUGUAGGACGACGUAUGCCGAAAGGCGUAUUUCCUUCGGGACGUCUUACAAGGUGCUGCAUGGUUGUCGUCAGCUCGUGCCGUGAGGUGUCGGGUUAAGUCCCAUAACGAGCGCAACCCUUAUCAUUAGUUGCCAUCAGGUAAUGCUGGGAACUCUAAUGAAACUGCCUACGCAAGUAGUGAGGAAGGUGGGGAUGACGUCAAAUCAGCACGGCCCUUAUGUCCAGGGCGACACACGUGCUACAAUGGCCAGUACAGAGGGUUGCUACCUGGUGACAGGAUGCUAAUCUCGAAAGCUGGUCUCAGUUCGGAUUGAAGUCUGCAACUCGACUUCAUGAAGUUGGAUUCGCUAGUAAUCGCGCAUCAGCCAUGGCGCGGUGAAUACGUUCCCGGGCCUUGUACACACCGCCCGUCAAGCCAUGGGAGUUGGGGGUACCUAAAGUCCGUAACCGCAAGGGGCGGCCUAGGGUAAAACCAAUGACUGGGGCUAAGUCGUAACAAGGUAGCCGUA